AGCGAACGCUGGCGGCAGGCCUAACACAUGCAAGUCGAACGAACCUUUCGGGGUUAGUGGCGGACGGGUGAGUAACACGUGGGAACGUGCCUUUAGGUUCGGAAUAACUCAGGGAAACUUGUGCUAAUACCGAAUGUGCCCUUCGGGGGAAAGAUUAAUCGCCUUUAGAGCGGCCCGCGUCUGAUUAGCUAGUUGGUUGAGGUAAUGGCUCACCAAGGCGACGAUCAGUAGCUGGUCUGAAAGGAUGAUCAGCCACAUUGGGACUGAGACACGGCCCAAACUCCUACGGGAGGCAGCAGUGGGGAAUCUUGCGCAAUGGGCGAAAGCCUGACGCAGCCAUGCCGCGUGAAUGAUGAAGGUCUUAGGAUUGUAAAAUUCUUUCACCGGGGACGAUAAUGACGGUACCCGGAGAAGAAGCCCCGGCUAACUUCGUG
rnacentral:rRNA from 1 species